UCGAAUAAACUUGAAUGAGCUGUUUGCUGGUCUUCAAGGAGACAUGUGCACGCUUGUCAUCUUUGUUUCUCCAACUGUGCACACAUUGUAGACCUUUCGGUUCGAGUUUGGGACUGCCAUCGCGGCCAGGGUCUAUGUCAUUUUUCACAAACCAAUGAAUUUGUUUAGAAUGUUGAAUCAGGUCCUUUUUGUACCUAUAAAAGUUAUAAA
rnacentral:misc_RNA from 1 species